UGCGUAGGUGGCGGGGUAAGUCUGGUGUGAAAGCUCCGAGCUCAACUCGGAAAAGCAUUGGAAAUUAUCCCGCUGGAGGGUCGGAGGGGAGACUGGAAUUCUCGGUGUAGCAGUGAAAUGCGUAGAUAUCGAGAGGAACACCAGUGGCGAAGGCGAGUCUCUGGACGACUCCUGACACUGAGGCACGAAAGCUAGGGAGCAAACA
rnacentral:rRNA from 1 species